rnacentral:tRNA from 1 species
ACUAUUUUGGCAGAUUAGUGCAAUAAAUUUAGAUUUUAUUUAUAUAGUAUAGUAUACUAUAAAUAGUA